GCUCCUAGGUCAAGGGCGAGGAGCUUGGCAGCUGGGUCCUGGAAGCCAGGAGAGGGUGUGCGACAGAUGCCCAGGUUCGGUCUUUGUCCCUGGCGGCACAGAGGCCCUGAAACCCUUUUGGGUUUCUUGGUGGGAGUGUCUCGUUAUUCCUGGGAGCCCUGUCCUGCGCGAAUGAGACAAGGGGGCCCUGAGAUAGUGGAGGAGGGGCCGACCUGGCCGAGAGCAGAGGCCGAGGCCCCCAGCACCCCGCGCAGAGAAGGGAGAGGACCUGGAGCUCAGCCCUGCCUCUUGGAGAAGCCCGGAGGCCUCUGGGCCCAGGGGCCGGUGCCCGCAGCUGGCCAGUCAGCUGCCCGCUCCAGAGGGUGGGGCACGCUGCGGAGCCCUGGAGUUCCUCCAGCCGUUAUCAAAACCAAGGCAGUCGUGGGAAUCCCCAGGUGGCCUGGGGGAUCGUGCCUGCCUCAGCUGUACCAGCACCGUGGGGCUCCUGAGCCGCGUGUAAGUAAACACCGUGCGGAGAGCCGCGGCACCUGUGCGUCGUGCGCUCGGCUCCCGCGUUGCUGCUUUUGUGUUGAAAGCUGUAGCUUCGCACGUUAGUGAGUCUCUCGGAGAGAAAUCCGUGUUCCCAGUGCGCAGUGACCAGUGCGGCAGCGUUUGGUGUAUUUUAUUUUGACCAUUUUCCUUAAGCAUCUUUUUUUGGAAGGCAGAGAGGGGGAGAGGGAGAGGGAGAGAUCUUCCACGUGCUGGUUCACUCCCAGAAGCCCAUAGCGGCCAGGACUGGGCCAGGCUGAAGUCAGGAGCCUGGAAUAUCGUCUAGGUUUUCCUCGUGGCUGCCGCAGGAAGCUGGAGUUGGGAGCAGAGCUGAGACUUGAACCCAGGCAGUCGGCGUCGGAGGAGGUUCAGGAGCAGCAUCUGAGCCUCCGUGCCCAGCGCCUGCCCCAUAUUUCUGACUUCUAGCACACACAGCUGAGGUCUCGGGCGACCUGCUUUCGCAGUGUUGGAGAUCCAGCUUGACCGCUUCUGUCCACUCUUUGUGGUGGCUGUCCGUGGUCACCGCCGGAGUGUCUGUGCCUGGCCGUGUCGCAGUGGGGCCGUGUCUGCAGACGCGUGGCAGAGCCUCCUGAGGAGCUGCCCGAGGGCCGGCCAGCCAGGGGAAUGUCCUGCGUCUGAUUCUUUGGAGGCGUCUUGGGUGUGGCGGCCUGGUUCUGGCCCUUGGCACCUGCAGUCCAGUGGAGGACAAAUGGUGGCUGACAGAGACCGUGCAGCACGGGUGGUGCUGCUCGCAGUGCAUCCACAACCACUGAUGGGGGGCCCGACCUCUCUGUGGGGGCGUUGUGUCCCUGGAGCUGUCCCCUGUGCCCAGCGCACCCCUCAGCUUAGCCUCUGUCCCCUCCCUCCCAACGCCCCUGCCUCUCUGAGCAGAGCACAAAGGCCCGCCUCCUCCCCAGGCCCUCGCUCUCCGGUCCCUCAGCGCUGGCCCUCCGCUCUCCUGCUCAUGUAAGGCUGUGAGGUUGUGCUCUCAGCUGAAAGCCUCCGGGUGGUGCUCUGAGGCAGUCAGUAAGAGGCGGGCCAGCACCGCGGUGCAGUGGUUCAGCCGCGACCCGCAGUGCCAUCAUUGCGUCUCAGAGCAUCAGUGCAGGUCGCAGCGGCUGUGCUGGCCCUCCGGCUCCCUGCUGUGGCCUGGGAGAGCAGUGGCAGAUGGCCCGAGGGCUUGGGCCCCUGCGCCCACGUGGGAGGCCUGGAUGGAGUUUCUGGCUCCUGGCUUCAGGCAGCCGUUGAUGGAGUUAACCAGCAGCUAGAAGGUUCUUUCCCGUCUCUCCCUCCAUGUGGCUCUGCCUUUCUAGUAAGUAAAAUAAAUCUCAAAAAAAGGCAAGCA
rnacentral:lncRNA from 1 species